UGGCAACCCAUGUGGAAUGCGGGAAGCUCGCUGUUUGCGAAGAUGAUGCCGAAGUGGCGAGGUACUUUUGCUGACCAGGGCGCAGAUGAGCCAAGCAGUGCAAGCAAAGCCUUGUUUGGUUCAGCGCAAGGCUGCCGUCAUUCUCGCCUCUUCAGACGGUUCUCUGACGCGUUGCCAAGUGCUGGAGCAUGCCGGGACCACAGUCAAUAACACCGACAAGCGGGGCAGUCUGGCGGUCGAGAAGGGCCUCUCGUUCCGGGACGUUCUCACCGGUGACAGCCAAACGACCUGGGCGCCCACCACACGGCUUGCUACGAGUACGCUGGCUUCAAUGAGUCCGGCAAUCACUCCGCAGGCUCCUACGAGUGCCCCGACUGCCACCAGACUGCCACCAUCGAACGAAUGGCUGCGGCUCUUGCUGUACAUGACUCCACCGCACCGAGGAUAUUGUCGGCCAGUGGUGCACACACAUUGGUACCUUCAGGACUCGCUUCUAAUGAUCAGUCCAGACAGGCAGUAUGAGCUGAACGAUUUCCUGGAUCGAUUCCCAUCACAUGCGUGAAGUUGUCUUAGCAUGUCCACCAAGCCAUCUUGUUCUUCGCAGCAGUUACUUUGCCAAAGAGACCAAAACACUCAACCUUACUCUCACAGGUGAGAGGCAGCUCCAGACGUGCACGUUCGAAGUACUUUUUGCCCAGGGAUGGCCGCUUUUCAAGAUUUCCUCGCACUGGGCUUGUCGGUGGUUUCUGCGACAGACAUCCUGCAGUGGCUGGUGUAUGCAUCAGCACUGGCUAAGCUUGUCCGCUCGCCCACCUGAAAGAUCAAGGUAGUUGGGCCACGCGUGCAUCACCGGGAGGGCCAAGCUGGUACCCGGCCUUCUGUGAGACCAGGGGUGUUACGGCCGAAAAAGUGAACUGUUUUCAAGAUUCCACCGCUCAGACACGAUCGAAGGCCUGCUACCUUUUCGGUGUUGGUGUUGUAAUUCUAUAAAAUAAAGUUCUCGCAGCAUAUAAUAGACCUUGACAUGAUCAAAAGUUAUCGACAUUGACUGCAACCUAAUAAAGGGUAACAGCCUCAUGAUGAAGCAUGUGUGCUGGAAAAAACUUAG
rnacentral:misc_RNA from 1 species